rnacentral:tRNA from 1 species
GCGGGGGUGCCCGAGCAUGGUCAAAGGGGGCGGACUUAAGAUCCGCUGGAGCAGUCCUGCACGGGUUCAAAUCCCGUCCCCCGCA